rnacentral:rRNA from 1 species
CAGCAGCCACGGGAACACGUAGGGGGCGAGCGUUAAUCGGAAUUACUGGGCGUAAAGCGUGCGCAGGCGGUUGUGUAAGACAGGUGUGAAAUCCCCGGGCUUAACCUGGGAACUGCGCUUGUGACCGCACAGCUAGAGUAUGGCAGAGGGGGGUGGAAUUCCAGGUGUAGCAGUGAAAUGCGUAGAGAUGUGGAGGAACACCGAUGGCGAAGACAGCCCCCUGGGCCAAUACUGACGCUCAUGCACGAAAGCGUGGGGAGCAAACAGGAUUAGAUACCCGCGUAGUCCCUGUCUCUUAUAC